UCAAGCGAUAAAUACGUUUAUUUGUCUAUAGAAAAUAAUCGGAGGUAAAUUCCAGCGAUAAAUACGUUUAUUUGUCUAUAGAAAAUAAUUGGAGGUAACUUCCGUCCAGCUACAGUACUUCCGUCACGCCAGGGUGUUCUGUCACGCCAGGGUGUUGUUCUCCGGGGCUGCAGCUGGAUACUAUUGGAGUUUAGCGGAAAUCUACCUGAAAUUACCUGAAAUUAGAGUGUACCCGCCCGAGCGAGUGAUGCCCAAAACAUGCAAAGACACGUCAGUGUAAUUGUGGAUGGCGAGAGCCCUGAAAUACAGCAGGACAGCAGCGGUCUUCAUCACUGCCCCUUCUGCAGAUUCAAAGGGUCAAAAUGUGCUAUCGACUAUCACAUUGAAGGCCAUGCCUCGGUUAAAUACAGAGAGUUCACGAUCAUAAAGUGCGGUUUAGAUUGCAGGAAGAAGACGCACUUUCAUUGUUAUAAUUGUGCAAUAACAAUUAUAGACCGACAACAGAUAUUAAAGCACCUGGAAUCGCACAACACCCCAGAGGCCCCUCCAGUCACCCCAGUGGCCCCUCCAGAGAGACAUGUGGCCCCUCUAGUCACCCCAGUGGCCCCUCCAGUCACCCCAGUGGCCCCUCCAGUCACCCCAGUGGCCCCUCCAGUCACCCCAGAGGCCCCUCCAGAGGCCCCUCCAGUCACCCCAGUUUUUAUUAUUAUAAACAUAAAUAUAAACCACUUCUCCUAAUUUACAGUACGCAAUGUACAUUGUCAUGGAUGGAAGGUGGGACUUUGCUGAGUCAAACAUGAAGCAAAUACGGCGAUGGUGGUGCCUUGUUCUUUUGAAGAACUUCCCCAUGCCGUCUGCAGAGGAGCUUUCAGGAAGCAGGAAGAGAAGACGGGAGGGAAUAAAGCUACAGGAUAAAGAUCUCUGCACAAAAAGGGCUAGAGUUGCUCCAACAGCAUCCAGCUCUGAAGGAUCAGACAAAACUGAAGACCAGGAACUGGAACCUGGGAACCUGGAAGAUGAUGUUGUCCUGAAGGACACAAUUAAGGCAGCAGCAUGGUGCCAGUUACAGUCCUUCAGGACAGCGUUUCUCUCCCAGAGGUCAUUGGGAUGGAAGGUUGGGAGCAGAUGGCAGCAUCAACACAGCGCAAAUCCCAUGACGGCGGGGAUGAGGAAGAAACGUGUAAACCAUUCCAAUUCUCAUUCAGAUUACAUACUGACUAAGAACUGUUCUGUGUGGAGAUGAUGGACAGGAGAAACCUGAAGGUGUUUGCCU